UGAGGAAUAUUGGACAAUGGGCGCAAGCCUGAUCCAGCCAUGCCGCGUGCAGGAAGAAGCAUCUAUGGUGUGUAAACUGCUUUUGUACGGGAAGAAACACUCCUACGUGUAGGAGCUUGACGUUACCGUAAGAAUAAGGAUCGGCUAACUCCGUGCCAGCAGCCGCGGUAAUACGGAGGAUCCAAGCGUUAUCCGGAAUCAUUGUGUUUAAAGGGUCCGUAGGCGGUUUAGUAAGUCAGUGGUGAAAGACCGUCGCUCAACGAUGGAACGGCCAUUGAUACUGCUAGACUUGGAUUAUUAGGAAGUAACUAGAAUAUGUAGUGUAGCGGUGAAAAGCUUGGAUUUUACAUGGAAUACCAAUUGCGAAGGCAGGUUACUACUAGUGGAUUGACGCUGAUGGACGAAAGCGUGGGGAGCGAACA
rnacentral:rRNA from 1 species